AGAAUGUGCCCUUUUGACUUCUUAAAAUAGGUCAAGGUUAGCCAUCUUUGAACUUGUCCAAGGUCUAUGUUCUGAGAAUGCUCCUUGUGAAUUUGAAGACUCUGGCAGUAAUAGGACUGGACUUAUGC